UACAGAGGGGGCAAGCGUUGUUCGGAAUUACUGGGCGUAAAGGGCGCGUAGGCGGCCUUCUAAGUCGAACGUGAAAUCCCUCGGCUUAACCGGGGAACUGCGUCUGAUACUGGAUGGCUUGAGUUCGGGAGAGGGAUGCGGAAUUCCAGGUGUAGCGGUGAAAUGCGUAGAUAUCUGGAGGAACACCGGUGGCGAAGGCGGCAUCCUGGACCGACACUGACACUGAGGAGCGAAAGCCAGGGGAGCAAACGGG
rnacentral:rRNA from 1 species